rnacentral:lncRNA from 1 species
AUGCCUCCGAGGAGCAGACGGCUCCCAGGUUUCGCCGCCAGUCACGCAGGGAAGCAAACGCCUUCCGCAGCCGCGCAGGGGGGAUCCGCGGGGCGCGCAGCGGCUCUCGCCGGGACACGGCGCCCGCAUCCGCCCCAGCCUCCCGCCCCGCUCUCGGAAACCUCCGGCCGGCGAUUCCCGGUGCGCGGGCACAGUGGAGCCCUCAGCGAAGCAGCAGCCCCUCCGCUACCGCGGCAGGAGAGGGGACCCGAAUCCCGCAGCCCCUCCGCACACUCCCCGCUGCCAGUUCUGCUCGGACGGCGCCGGCGGGAUCGCAGCCCUCCCCGGGCGCCCGGCCCGGCCCGGCCUCCCUUCGCAGCGCCUGGGCGCCCGCACGUCCAGGCACCCGCGUCCCCGACGGAGCCGGGUCCCUUGGCGCAUCCGGACGCGGGGAGCCGGCUCGCCGCGCUGCCGAGACCCCCCCCCAGCGCCCAGGCACCCUGGUGCCGAGGAAGCCCCCCAAGCAACUCCCCCUUCCUCCGCCGCCGGCGAGCCCCAGCCCCUCGCCGCUCCACGCCGCUGCUGUGCGCCCAGCAUCAUCCCCCGCGCCUCGUCCUCCCGCGCUCAAAGCACAGCUGCCCUCCAGGUGUUCGGGCCCGCUGGGCGACGCUGGUGCCCUCACCCAUCAGUGCUGCUCGCAGGUGCCGGCGUUUCGGGGCUGGGACCCACCCAGGAGGGGAUCCGGCCCCCGUCCCGCUCCACGUGCAUCACGGCCCCCGCAGCGGGGCAGCCCGGGGGGCUCCCCAGGAGCCACGGGGCUCCCCCGGGGCAAACGGGCUGCCCGCGAAGGGGCCUUCGGGGCGAGGCGGGGGCUAUCGGGGCUCGGCACGGCGCAGAACGCCUGCAGAUAAGGGACGCGCGGAGCGGAUGCGUGCAGCCGGCACCGACCCUUGCAGGAAAUGGUCACCGCCGUAUCUGCCCCGCGCACAUGCCCCCCGCCUGCUAUCAGCCCCGCGCACACGUGCCAGGCACGGCUGA